UACGAAGGGGGCUAGCGUUGCUCGGAAUCACUGGGCGUAAAGCGCACGUAGGCGGCUUUUUAAGUCAGGGGUGAAAUCCUGGAGCUCAACUCCAGAACUGCCUUUGAUACUGGGAAGCUUGAGUCCGGGAGAGGUGAGUGGAACUCCGAGUGUAGAGGUGAAAUUCGUAGAUAUCGGGAAGGAACACCAGUGGCGAAGGCGGACUCACCGUGGCCCUGUUCUUGACGCUGAGGCUGCGAAAGCUAGGGGAGCAAACGGGG
rnacentral:rRNA from 1 species